UGAUGCAGCGAUGCCGCGUGNAGGAGAAGGNUUUCGGAUUGUAAACUCCUGUCUUAANNGACNAUAAUGACGGUACUUUAGGAGGAAGCUCCGGCUAACUACGUGCCAGCAGCCGCGGUAAUACGUAGGGAGCGAGCGUUGUCCGGAAUUACUGGGUGUAAAGGGAGCGUAGGCGGGACGGUAAGUCAGAUGUGAAAUGCAGGGGCUCAACCCCUGAGCUGCAUUUGAAACUGCUGUUCUUGAGUGAAGUAGAGGUAAGCGGAAUUCCUGGUGUAGCGGUGAAAUGCGUAGAUAUCAGGAGGAACACCGGUGGCGAAGGCGGCUUACUGGGCUUUUACUGACGCUGAGGCUCGAAAGCGUGGGGAGCAAACAGGAUUAGAUACCCUGGUAGUCCACGCUGUAAACGAUGAUUACUAGGUGUGGGGGGACUGACCCCUUCCGUGCCGCAGUUAACACAAUAAGUAAUCCACCUGGGGAGUACGGCCGCAAGGUUGAAACUC
rnacentral:rRNA from 1 species